ACAGGUACUACAACAACUCGAUGGAAAUAUAGAAAACCAAGAUUUAACUUCAGAAAAUUGUCAACUUCGAACUUGCGAUGUCACACAGACUACCUUCAAAAAAGUGCCACAAGGUCUAGAUUUAACUACGCCUAUGGCACAUAAGAAUAAGUUUGCAGAGUCAACUAAUGGGUUUAAUUCAACCUAUUGUCAGGGAUUAGAAAGUGAAGAAAAAGAGUAUACUGUUACUACGGAACCGGAAGAAAUUAUAUCCGAUAAACACGUCGGAAGGAAGAUUGUGGCCAUAUCUCAAUUCAAAAAUUACUCAACUUUUGUAAACAUGGCCAUCUAGCGUAUUCAUCGAAUGAUAUAAUACUAACAGGAGAAAAUCAAAAUAGUCUGAUAUCAUUAUUUACUUUUCAGUGUAAAAUGUAUAACGUAACUCUUACAAUCGAAAAUGAUAUCUGUGAAGACAAUUAUUUAAAUUUGAAUGCAUGUGCAGUAGCUGGUACCAUCGCAAUAGGAUGUGGCCGGUCACAACUUGAAGAAGUGUUGUCAACUAUAAAUUUGCCUAGUUUCACUGAAAAUACAUACGACCACAAUCACAAGGUUAUUGGCAAACAUCGUCAUCUCAUUGAGGUGAAAUGUCCCAUUACAGCGCAUAGAAUCGGCAUAGACGAAGCUAUUAGGAAGAAAAAAAUAACCGUCUGGAAAAUAAAUAAGAAUGGUCAAUACCACAUUAACAAAAAUUGGUAUUACCAAAUUCAAGGUCAAUUACAUGUAACACAAAGCAAAAAAUGUAUAUAUGCGGUAUGGGGCAGUGAAAAUGAAUCGCUUAGAAUCGAAAUUAUUAA